CAAGAACCUCCUUGUCAUCUUCCUCCCAUAGAUCAGAUUCCGCUCUGGUGGUGACGAUGAUCAUCAACAGGGCGACACCGACCAGCGCCAAACUCCACCACAGCUUCAUUCUGCGUACAAAAAGGAAAGAAAUAGCAUCGAGGAACGAGGUCGGAUAGGCUUGAACGAAAAGAAAAAAGGCCACGUCUACCAGAAGUGGAUGAUGAGAUCAAAGUGGAAGAAACAUCGUGUUUUCUUAUAGAAACUUCAACAUAUCGCCAUGUUGAAAUAUAUGUAUAGAGUUUUUAAAAAAUAGUCGACAGGAAUAUUCCUAUCUAUAUAGAUACACGUUGUAUAUAUUAAAGGCAAGAAAAAGGUUCAUACAAA